UCCGGCAUGGUGUAGCGGUAACAUAGGUGCCUUUCAUUCGUCGAAGUGGUCGAAGUGGUCGCACUAGCCCGGGGUUCGACUCCCCGUACCGGAA